UACGUAGGGGGCAAGCGUUGUCCGGAUUUAUUGGGCGUAAAGAGCGUGUAGGCUGCUCGGUAAGUCCGCUGUAAAAGUCAAAGGCUCAACCUUUGAAUGUCAGUGGAUACUGCCGGGCUAGAGUCCGGAAGAGGCGAGUGGAACUCCUGGUGUAGCGGUGGAAUGCGCAGAUAUCAGGAAGAACACCGAUGGCGAAGGCGGCAUCCUGGACCAACACUGACGCUGAGGAGC
rnacentral:rRNA from 1 species